AGCAGCCGCGGUAAUUCCAGCUCCAAUAGCGUAUAUUAAAGUUGUUGCAGUUAAAAAGCUCGUAGUUGAAUUUCGGGGUCAGUAGGUUGGUCAUGCCACUGGUAUGUACUGGUCUCACUGAUUCCUCCUUCCUGAUGAGCCGUAAUGCCAUUAAUUUGGUGUUGCGAGGAAUCUGGACUGUUACUUUGAAAAAUUAGAGUGUUUAAAGCAGGCUAACGCUUGAAUACAUUAGCAUGGAAUAAUGAAAUAGGACGUUCGAUCUUAUUUUGUUGGUUUCUAAGAUUGACGUAAUGAUUAAUAGGGAUAGUUGGGGGCAUUAGUAUUCAAUUGUCAGAGGUGAAAUUCUUGGAUUUAUUGAAGACUAACUACUGCGAAAGCAUUUGCCAAGGAUGUUUUCAUUAAUCAAGAACGAAAGUUAGGGGAUCGAAGACGAUCAGAUACCCUCGUAGU
rnacentral:rRNA from 1 species